AAUAGAUACCCUGGUAGUCCACGCCGUAAACGAUGAGUGCUAAGUGUUAGAGGGUUUCCGCCCUUUAGUGCUGCAGCUAACGCAUUAAGCACUCCGCCUGGGGAGUACGGUCGCAAGACUGAAACUCAAAGGAAUUGACGGGGGCCCGCACAAGCGGUGGAGCAUGUGGUUUAAUUCGAAGCAACGCGAAGAACCUUACCAGGUCUUGACAUCCCACUGACCGGUAUAGAGAUAUACCUUUCCCUUCGGGGACAGUGGUGACAGGUGGUGCAUGGUUGUCGUCAGCUCGUGUCGUGAGAUGUUGGGUUAAGUCCCGCAACGAGCGCAACCCUUGAUCUUAGUUGCCAGCAUUUAGUUGGGCACUCUAAGGUGACUGCCGGUGACAAACCGGAGGAAGGUGGGGAUGACGUCAAAUCAUCAUGCCCCUUAUGACCUGAGCUACACACGUGCUACAAUGGAUGGUACAAAGGGCUGCAAGACUGCGAAGUCAAGCCAAUCCCAUAAAACCAUUCUCAGUUCGGAUUGCA
rnacentral:rRNA from 1 species